AUGCAUCCCCAUCUCUUCCCAGCCAUCACUCUGUCCUUGAUGAUAAUAGCCAUAACCUUAAUCCAUUGUCCAACAUCCUUGCGCGCAGAAGAUGAGCAAUACCUCAACUGCAGCGCACCAUUAAAUUGUAGCGGCUUUACCGACCUCAGUUAUCCUUUUUGGGGAUUGAAUCGGCCAGAAUAUUGUGGUCACCCAAGUUUUCAGUUAGAUUGCAGCAAUGAUGCCCCGCAAAUCAAUAUCUCAAACAUCAAUUACAGAGUCCUUGAGGUCAAUAAAACAUUGCAGACUCUCAGGCUUGCUAGGACGGAUUACUGGCAAAAGAUUUGCCCUUCUGUGCUUGUUAAUACCACCAUAGAUUUCACCCUAUUUUCCUAUACUCCUUCAGAUGCGAACCUGACACUCUAUUAUCAAUGCCCUGUCCCUUUAGUUCCUAUUACAUCUCUGAUCAGUACUAGCGUUCUUCAGUUUAACUGCACCAUAAACAAUACAAAUUUUUUCAAUUACUAUUCCCCAAACAUCUACUCUCCGGAUUUAUCCUCAAUUAGUAACUCAAUCGGCGCAUGCAGCUACUGGGUCAUUGUUCCAAUUCUGCCACAAACGCCUGUGAUUGCUACAACUCAAGAUGCAGUAACAGCAGCUAUUGAUGGCGGCUUCAUGUUGACUUGGAAUGCAAGAAAUCCCCAGUGUGAAACAUGCGUAGGGGCCGGAGGGCUUUGUGGUUCUGACCCAAGCACAAAUGCAUUUGCUUGCCACUGUCAACAAGGGACUUUUGUAUCCGGGUGUGAUGGACCUUUUUCAUCAUCAAGUAAGCAUGAAUUUUUGCUGUCAUUCCUUCUUAUUUCAUUUCUUGUCUAGUUUUCUAUGCCGUUUAGAUGCUCAGUUACUAGCAUCUAUAUUGGUAGCUGCCUUCUGCUUCUCCCAUUUUUUUUUCCUUCAGUAGCUGGCCUAAGUGCAGCGACCAUAGUUUUCAUCAGACUAGAGACUUAAGAUCAAGCUUUUAGGAAAAACACCGAUCUUAUUUUCCGACAUAUAUAGCAACCACCCUAUAUUUGAACAUCAUACAUCAUCCAAGUCCAUAAAACCUGGCAACAUAGAAUUUGCUUCCUUCAAUUCAAGAAUAAGUAACUAUUUCCUCAGGUCAACGAUGGACUAAUUCUAUAGUACUCUUCAGUAGAAUAUGAAAUUGAUGGAUGAUUAGGAUUUUUGAUCUAACUACUUUUAGGUGGGAUCAAAGCCCACUAGGCACUUGCCAAGUCAAGUUGUGGGAUAACAUUUCUUAAAGCAUUUCAUUUUAGACAGCGACCCUCUAGAAGCAUUUAAGUGCUGUAGCACAGUUAGUUAUUUUGUGUUAGGCUUAAUCUGGGAUUACAAAACUGAUUAACCUUUGGGUCAACUAUAUAUUUGGUUCCUAACAUUUACGCCAUAUGUCAAUAUGGUCCUUAACCUUUCAAAUGUGUCAAUUUGGUCCCUAACCUUUUGUUAUUGUGUCAAAAUGGUCCAUGAUGUUAAGUGAUGGAUGGAAAAUGAUGAUAUGGAUAAUGGCCAAAACAAAAAAAUAGUUUAUUGACACAUUGACUGCCAUCUGUACUAACAUUCAAUAUAACCUUAAAUUAAAAAAAAUUAAAAAUAAAAAAAUCAGAUAAGUAAGUAACACAGCAUGUGAGGAAAAAUUUGGGAUCAAAAUCCCUAACUCACGACUGUAGAAGAAAUCAUUAGGGAUUUUAGGUAAGGACCCAAGCCAUGAUGGUAACACUCCAGAAAAGGAGUUCAAUCCAAAGCUGACAACUUCCAACUAGCCCAAAUAAGCCAACUCGUUGGGCGGAGAGCCAUGAAAAUUGUUGUUUCAGAAGGAUAAAUGAGGGAGGAAUGAUAGGUUUUCCGUUUGUGGAGCAAUAGUUUCUGUAAGACCCAUGUGAGAAAGGUUCAAGGUAGUGACUCAAAGGUGUUUGGCACCGCAAGAGAUCCCAAUCCAGUUGCAAUCAGAGGUAGAGGUAGACCGAUUGCUUGCCAAGGUUUUGUAAGGGUCAUCGGUAAUAUGGCCUUCGGGAGCAAGAAGAGCUAAUUGGUCUGUGAUGAUGCUAGUUUUUACUGUCAUAGUUAAGCUAGCCAUAAAAUAGUGCAACAGAAACAACACAAAAAAUAAGAAAAAGACAAGAAUCUCCAUGAGUUUCUAUCUGUAGGUAGGUUGAGAUUUGAGGCUAGCUAUAUGUACAAAACAUGUGUGGCUGAAAGAUGUGAAUUAUAUAAAUGGAGAAAUCAACUUUUUGAUCCUAAAUUUUUCCUCACGUGCUAUGCUAAUCACUUAUCUGAUUGUGUUUAAAAAAAAUUAAUUUAAUUUAAGGUUUUGUUGACAUGUUAGUAUAUGUGGCAGUUGAUGUGGUAAUAAACUAUUUUUUUUUUGUUUUGACCAUUAGCCACGUUAUCAUUCUCCAUCCACCACUUAACAUUAGGGACCAUUUUGACGCAAUAUCAAAAAGUUAGGGACCAAAUUGAACACAUCUGAAAGGUUAGGAACUACAUUGACAUAUAGUGUAAAGGUUAGGGACCAAAUAUGUAGUUUACUCUUAACCUUUUCUAGGAUUUGGAUUUUCAACGUAUACACCUAUUCCUUGACUGAAUGCCGAUUAUCAACUGUCUAUGAAUUUUGUUUUGUGUAUUUGGGUGCUCUUGAUAGAACUCAAUUGUCUAUCAAUUUAGUCCAUUAGAGUGCGAAAUUUUCUCCUAUUCCCAUUUGAAAAUUCUAAUCAACCCUUUCUAUUUUUGGUCUCUAUCUAUUUGGAUGUUCUUGAUUUAACUUUUCAAUACAUUUAAAUAAAGUAUAUAAUCCCACACACGUUGCAAUGAUUUUUUUUUUAAUUCGAAUAAUUAACAUGUUCGUCUCUGUUUAUGAGUGUUAUAAGCUAUUUCUAACCUUUUCUAUAUAAUAAUAAUAAUAUUAAAUACUAAUUACAAUUUUAGUCUGUUAAUAUUUUAAAACCAAUUCAAAAUAAAAUUGACAAAGUUGAUGAACAAUCAAGUUAGUUCAAGAUUUAUUUGACUUCAAGGAUCAAAAAAUGUAUUUGGAAAAGGCUAACUAACUUGCCAAUAUUGUUGGCAGUCCGUACUUGUCCUCUUCCAUUAUUUCUAUAUAACUCAAUCCUCUAGCUGUCUGAGUUGCAAUCUCUCUUUGUUUUCCAGGUUAAAUCUUGUGGUUUACUUCCUUGACACUUAAUAGUAUUAUGUAUUAACAAUCACUUCCUAUGCACUCACGCUGAUAUUAUGUUUGUACUAUAGGAUUAUCUUCCAAGCUGAAGCGUGAAAUUGUCAUAGGUAUGUAGUAUAAUCAUGAAAAAUUUGUUAGAUGAAAACUGGGUUAUCAUUGGUUGCACAUGACAAAGUUUCCUUUCUUUAACAAUAGGCAUUACGGCUGCUGUGCUUGGGACUAUAGUAGUCUGUAUCAUAAUAUGCUGCCUUAGAAGAGAACAAUUGAUUAAGGCAUUGAUCUUUAGGAGGACAGCAAGGAAAAACGAUGAAAAUGUCAAGGCAUUUAUAUUGAAUUAUGGUUCACUAGCUCCCAAGCACUAUAGUUACGCAGAGAUCAAGAAGAUGACCAACUCAUUCAUAAACAAACUAGGCCAAGGAGGAUAUAGCAGUGUAUACAAAGGAAAGCUGCCAGAUGGUAAGAUCGUGGCAGUAAAAGUUCUUAAUGAAUCCAAAGGCAAUGGAGAAGAUUUUAUUAAUGAAGUUGCUAGCAUUUGUAGGACUUCUCAUGUUAAUAUAGUCACUCUUUUAGGUUUCAGUUAUGAAAAGAACAAGCAAGCUCUAAUAUAUGAAUUUAUGCCCAAUGGAUCUCUAGAUAAAUUCAUAUAUCAUCGAGAAUCUUUAGCAACAAAUUGUUGCUUGGAAUGGAAAAUAUUGUACAAAAUUGCAGUUGACAUUGCUCGUGGACUAGAGUAUUUACAUCAAGGUUGUAGCACAAGGAUUUUGCAUUUUGACAUAAAGCCUCAGAAUAUUCUUUUAGAUGAAGAUUUCAACCCAAAAAUCUCUGAUUUUGGCCUUGCUAAACUAUGCCAAAGAAAAGAUAGCAUUGUAUCAAUGAUUGGCAUGAGAGGAACAGCAGGGUACAUUGCCCCAGAAGUAUUUAGUCGGAACUUUGGAGGAGUCUCUCACAAGUCUGAUGUCUAUAGUUAUGGAAUGCUGGUUCUUGAAAUGGUUGGAGGAAGAAAGAAUUUUGAUGCUGGAGUGUCUAACAGCAGCGAAAAAUAUUUUCCAGAUUGGAUUUAUAAGGAUCUUGAACUAGGUUUGGAUGGAAGAAAUUGUGGGGUCAUCACAGAGGAAAAAGAGACAUCAAGUAAGAUGAUCCUGGUGAGUUUAUGGUGCAUUCAGACAAAUCCAACUGAUCGACCAUCCAUGAAUAAGGUGGUAGAGAUGUUAGAAGGAACUCUUCAUUCUUUACAAAUACCCCCAAAGCCUUUCUUGUGUUCGCCUAAAGUGUCACCAGUGGAGUCUUAUACAACUUCAUGAGCCAAAAUUAAUUCAAAAGAAAAGGUUAGGAUCCAGUCUUGGGUGGGGAAAAGAGACAUUUUUUAUCAGUCAUUUCAUAUGUUGAAUCUUCUAUUUUUAUGUCUUCAAUUAUACCUGAUAUGUUUCACUUCUGACCAUGAAAGGUGAUGAGAGUACAGUUUCUCACUGGUCUUACUUUGUUAUCUUAAAUUCUUAAUAUGGAUCCAAUAAUUAUAAUUUGUGCUCUCACUUUAAGGUCCCACCGUGGACCAAAUAAUUAGAAUUUCAUGGCAAAAGGACCUACAGAUGGAACCAUAUAGGAAUGUUUAUGUUUCAAUGCAAACUCCACAACGAUAUUCAAGAAUUUGUAAAGAAAUUUUUAAUUCUGAAAUGGUAUAGGAUUAUUAUUCUGCAUGGUUUCAUUAUGGGUUGUCAUGGUGAUAUGAAGAUGAGAUGGAUAACAAUGAUGAGGCUAGAAAUGACUUGGUUGCAAUGUCCUUGCAUCAAUGAAGGUUUACUUUCUACAUUUUUGGUGCACGUAGAGUUAUUAGGUUGAGGCCCAGUUGGUCCAAACCCCUUGUACUCUAGUAUUGUUGUAUCAUGUUGUUCAUGAGUUUUUUUUUUUGUUAAACUUUUUUGCAAGUCAUGAUUUCAUUUGUUUCUUAGGAUGUGUGUAAAAUCAUAUAAAACACAAAUAAAAUAAUUUGUGUGUAAUAAACACCACUUUUUAUUUUUAUUUUUGGCAGACUACAUAUCAAGUCUUAACAGAACCAAAUUCGUCGACAAGUAAGAAUGGACUGCCAAGGCCACAGAUCUCUUUAAAGAGGCUUGAUUGCAGCUGACUACUUGUCAGCGUCAAUGUUAUUAACUCUGUUCUAUUUUGGUUGAAACGGCUGAAAUAUCUCAUAUCAAUUACAAAAUCAAUAAACUUUAACCCUCUUAUUCCAUCUUGGCUCAAAUUCUAAUAAUUGUCUAAGCAUUUAAGUCAUUCCAACCCGUAUUUAAACUUCAAUUUUUUUUUUUUUUUUUUUUUUUGAAAACAGAGCAAGCAUCAUUCAUUCGUUCAGAGGAUUAGAAUCCAAAUACAAUGCCUCAAGGGCUGGCGGUGGUGAUUCUUCCAACCAUACAGUAUCCUCAUCUAAUUGACUGGUAUAACGAGCCAAGGAAUGAGCAACAAAAUUAGCACAACGUUUGACGCAGCUAACUGACAUACCCCUAAGACCUGCAGCUAAGUAGCGAACAUCCUCAUAAAUAUGUCCCAGUCUAGACCUGUUAGCUCAUGGAGAUAAAAUUGACUUCAUGACAAUAGCAUUGUCUCCCUCAAUCACCAGCUCCAUGAACCCAGCAUCCAUUGCAAACUCAAGAGAUUUCUGACACACUAACACUUCGGCCUCCUCACUAUUCGCCACUGAAGGUCCUCUAGCAGACAAAGCGGCCAUAACAUCUCCCUUAUCAUUUCAAAUAAUGGCACUGAAGCCUGACGAAUUUGUGUUGGCGAACACAGCUGCAUCGAAGUUUAGUUUGAAGGCCAAAUCCAAUGGUGGUCUCCAUGCCUGCACAAACACAAUGGUUGUCAGUAUAGCCAAUUGUACCUGCGUUUCCUUGUACUCAUCCAAGUAGUCUGCUCAUUUAAUUAGUCGAGUUGGGUCCUGUAAUUUUCCUCCAUGUAGUGCUAAACUCCUUUGAUUACAAAUUAUCCAGCUUUCAACCCAGAAUAGUUCCUGCUCUUCACUGGACAACCUGUUUAGCAAUUCUUCAACUAGCUGCAUAAAAUAUGCUUGGCACCUCACACCCUUUUGCAACCGACCUGGACAUCCAGCCCAUAUAUCCUACACCACCCCACAUUCCCACAGCACGUGGAGCACUGAUUUAGGAGCUAGUUUACAAAAUUCACAUCUACCAUCUUCAAUAAUUCUUCAGCGGACCAGAUUCAUCCGUGUUGGUAGGGCAUCUUAGCAAGCUCUCCACCCAAAAACCUUUAUCUUAUUUGGGAUUUGAAGUUUCCAUGGUUUUGCCCAUAUUGGACAUCCAUUCACAGCCCUCGAACUCUCGCCCAUGUCAUUGUCUUGCCAUAAUAUCAAUCUAGUAGUGCGGUACACCGACUUCACUGAAUACUCCUUGUUCUUGGUAUGGAGCCAGAAAAUCACAUCUGAUACAGCUUGCAACUCAAUGGGAUGCAAAGAAUUGCCUCGGCAUCAUCUCUAUGGAAUUUGGACUCAAUAAGUUCACGAUCCCAUAAAUUAACCCUCCAGUCAAUGAGUUCAGACACUCGCCACUCCCAUUCCUCAUCUAUUGGUGGAUGGAUCACCUUGUUUGUAGGGUGAUUCAGAAUCCACCUAUCUUUAGUGACCCGAAUGGAAGAGUCGUCCCCCACCCUCCAACAACACCCUCUCUUUAGAACUGGUUGAGCUGCCAUUAAACUCUUCCAAACGUAAGAGCUAUUUGGGACAUUUGAGGUCUCGAAGAAACUACAUUGAGGAAAGUAUCUUGCCUUGAAACAUCCAUACAACAACGACCCUUGUUCUUGUAGCAAUCUGCAACCUUGCAUAGCUAGCAUUGCUAAGUUGAAAUUUCUUAAAUCUCUAAAAACCAUUCCCCCCCCCCCCCUUCCUUCUUAGGUUGAGACAACACGUUCUAGCUCUUCCAAUGAAUUUUCCUCUCAUUCCCAAUUUGACCCCACUAAAACCUUGCACACAUUGUGUUAAUUUCAUUGCAGAGCUUCACUAGUAACUAAAAAAACCCCCCAUCAUAUAUGUAGGGAAUUGAUUGAGCUACAGCUUUAAUCAACACCUCCUUCAAAGCUCUUGACAGUAAUUUCCCCUUCCAUCCUUAAAUCUUUUACCAAACUAUAUCUUUUAAAAAAAGAAAAAGUUUGAUAUUUUGACCAACCAACCAAUGUGGAUAAGCCCAAGUAGGAUUGAAACUUUUCCACCUCCUUCACACCCAAAUCAUUUUUUAUCCUUUCUCUUUGCCCUCCCUCUGUGUUGCUACUGAAGUAAACAGAAGAUUUUUAAAAAUUGAUGCACUACUUAGAUGAUAUUGCAUAUAAUUGUAAGACUUCAGUGAUGCAUUGCACUUCAUCUUGAUUUUCCUGGCAAAACAGUAGUGAAUCAUCAGCAAAUAAUAAGUGGGAUAUACUUGGUGCUCUCCUACAGACUGAAACACCAUGAAGCUGCCCCUCAUCUUUUUCUCUAGCUAGCAAAGAUGUAAACUCUUCAGCACAUAAAAGAAACAGGUAAGGAGAUAAAAUGUCUCCCUGGUGGAGCCCCCUAGAUGGGAUAAUAUUGUCAUAUGCUUUACCAUUGAUACAAACUGAGAACGUGGGUGUAAAUGCACAACUCAUCACCCGAUCAAUCCACACUUCAGGAAAGCCCAACUUGUACAUGAUGCCCUUUAGAAAAGCCAAGUCAACUUGAUCAUAGGCCUUGCUAAUGUCCAACUUCAAAGCUAAGGAUCAUUUUUUGCCAAUUUUCCUAUAGUGCAUGGCAUGUAGGGUCUCAUUUGCGACAAGCACAUUAUCAGUAAUAAGACAGCCCAGAACAAAAGCACUUUGAGUAGGAGAUAUCAACUGAGAAAGAAUCUACUUUAACUUGUUAGCCAAGACUUUUGAAAUAAUUUGUAAAUGACAUUACAGAGACUGAUAGGUUUGUAGUCUGACAUUCUCACAGGCAACUUAAUUUUCGGGAUAAGACAAUAUGAGUAUAAUUAAUUUUAGGCACCAUAUUACCAGAAUUUAAAAAAUCCAAUACAGUUGCAAUCACAUCAUCACCUACAAUAUGCCAAAAUUUUUGGUAAAAGAGAGCAUUCAUACCGUCAGGUCCAGGAGCCUUUAUUGGCCCCAUUUGGAAUAAUGCUGCUUUGAUUUCGUCUGCACUGUAAUCACUGGACAAAAUUUCCUGCAUAUUUGAGGUCACCUUGUGUUGAACUGCACUAAGACAUUCAUCCAUCCGUUAAAAAACACCAGAAUUAAAAAUAUUCUCAAAAUAGUUAGUCGCCACACCAGCUAUAUCAUUAAUUUCUUCUACCCAGUUAUUAUGUUGAUCUCUAAUCCCUUGAAUAAAAUUUCUCCGUCGUUGUUGUGAGGCCUUAGAGUGAAAAAAUUUGGUGUUUUUAUCACCAUGUUUCAACCAAGGGAUUUGAGAUCUUUGAGCCUAAUAAAUUUCCUAUUUGAGUAGCAGAUCAUCAAGUUUCUUACUUGGUGUCAAGAAUUUUGCUCUGUUCUCCUUAGUUGGUUCCCCAAUGCUUAGCUCCUCAAUAUUUUUUUGAAUUCUCUUUAUUUCUUCAGCAUUAGGAUGGGUCUUGGAUGAACCCCACACUAGUAGUUCUACCCCACAGCAGCCAAUAUUCUCUUUUGUAUUUUCAAGGCCCAAGUUUGCACUACCCACUUUAGUCCAGGCUUCACUAACCAUCUUCUUACAUUCAUCCCACAAUAACCAAGCUUCUUCAAACUUAAAAGCUUGUGCACCUAUGUUUCGAGUUCUCCAAUCAAAUUUGGUUUGCAAUACCAAUGGACGAUGGUCAGAAGCAUGGGAAAAGAGAUGAGUUAUCAUACUCGCCGGAAACUUCUCCCUCCAUCUCACGUUAGCCACAACCUUGUCUAACCUCUCUCUGGUAUUUGCUUCCCCUUGCCUUUUAUUGUUCUACGUAAAUGGGUAACCAAGAAAUCUCAUGUCCACCAAAGUGCAAGAGUCCAGUGCCAUACAAAAUUUAUCCAUCUGUUUGUACAGAGGUGGGAACUUGCUUUGUUUAUCGGAUGAAUGUAGAAUUGCAUUGAAAUCACCAAUACAACACCACGACCCAUUGACAAAAGAGGAGAGAUGGGACAAGAGUACCCAAGAUUUUGAUUUUUGGCUAGCUUCAGGCCAACCAUAGAACAUGUUAUAUUCCAUUCAAAACCAUCUUCCUCGACCACCUUGGCUAGGAUGUGGUUCUCCGUAUAAUUAAUAACCUCUAACUGUAUUUCUAUGUUUCCUUCAUGCACGCCUUUUACUAACUCACAUUCAAAUUUUCUUUAAAAAAAAAAAUACAAACUUCUCCUCCCUCAAACCAUUUCCAAAAACACAAAGUAGAUGCUGAUGGUGAAUUCUUAUCAACAUCUCCCAUUGUUUACAUUUAUUCAUUUUUAUCUCUAUUUUUAACUUAAAAUUUUUAGAACACAUGCUUUUUCAAUAGGAAUCAACGGAUCCUAUCAGGAUUUUCUACUAGUAGACUGAGCCUUGGUGUCUUCAUCUGCUCCAUCAAUGACUUAGUAGCCGACAACGUUAGAGAGAAGAAGCACUGACAUGGUCUUGCAAAUCAUUCUUUCACACUUCAAAGUAGAGAAGAAUCUUUCCCAUCAAAAAGUAAUAAUUUUUCUUCAUAAAUUUCAAGCAUAAAAUAGGCAUUCUUAAUAAAUAUAUUUCCUUCUUUUAUCUCUGUUUGUGAUAUUUGAAUUACACAAUUUUAUGUUGUUUGAAGUGACAUGAUUAUACGACUUCUUUAUUUCAUUUUAUAGGAUUAAACCAAUUUUGAUCUUAUUGUUUCCCAUUAGACUUCACUUUAAAGCUUAUAAACAUUGAUCAUCAAUAUUUAUGGGUUUGGGACUUUCUCUGUGGUUAUAUUGUGAUAGAUUUCUUUACUCUUAUAAUCUCACUGUAACUUGCAAUUUCUCUAUGAUGGAAAAAUUUAAAUAGAGAAAUUAACAGGAGAGAAAUAAGAUCACUGAUUAUACAAAAAAAAAAAAAAAAUCAAUUUAAACUUAACCCCCCUCUUUUUCUUUUUUCUUUUUGGGAAUAUUUAUCUUUUGAGUGGUUUGUUCUUUAAAAUGGAAUUUACACCUUAAAAUUUGAAUGGAUCAUCUUAAAACUCAAUGUUUGAACUUAUACAUUAUUAUUAGCAAAAGAGAAUGUGGAUCUUACUUAAUUCAAAGAUGUGUUUAAUAUUGUGCUAUAGGUCAUGGGCUUAUUAUAGCUGCAGAAUUAACACUGUUGUAUUGUUCAAAAUUGGGUAAUAGUUCCUUCUUUUUUCUGUAAGUAAAAGCUUUUAACAAUUUACCACUAAACAUGGGCACAACCAAGUAUCAAAAACUAAGAAAAUUUAUUAAUCAUUCAUAAGCGUGACCUCUCCAUUGGUAUGUUAUUGACUUAUUGUGUGGAGGCAGAGGUUAUUUUGAUGUAAGUUUGGAUAUGAAUUAGGAAGAAAGAACCAUUAGGUGCAUUUGUAAAGAGAAAUGAUACGUUUUUUUUUACUAUUUUCUGGCAUACUUUGUUCCUAAUUGAAGCUUCUAAGUCUAAGACAAGUAAGUGUUGUAGUGUUUCAUUUCAAUGUAGGAAUUGUAGAGGUUGCAAUAUUUCAAGAUUCAGAGGAAGACUGCUACUAUACUGUUAUCUUUGAGGUUUCUUUCUAUCCUACUUUUAGACAUGAGAAGGAAUUGUAUUAUAUUGAUGAUAACUGCAAAGAGAUAGCCAAUUCAACUCUGGAACAUAUAAGACCAAGAUGGCAAGACAAGGUGGUGCUGAGGCAUUUUGAAAAGAUAUGGAAGAAUAAGUAG
rnacentral:sRNA from 1 species